CUUUGGGAGGCCGAGGUGGGCGGAUCACGAGGUCAGGAGAUCGAGACCAUCCUGGCUAACACGGUGAAACCUCGUCUCUACUAAAAAUAAAAAUACAAAAAAUUAGCCGGGCGUGGUGGCGGGCGCCUGUAGUCCCAGCUACUCGGGAGGCUGAGGCAGGAGAAUGGCGUGAACCCGGGAGGCGGAGCUUGCAGUGAGCCGAGAUCGCGCCACUGCACUCCAGCCUGGGUGACAGAGCAAGACUCCGUCUCAAAAUAAACUAAAUUAAAUUAAAUUAAAACAAAAAAACAACCAGUCAAAUGAAGCUGCACUUCCUUAAUGUGUACAAUUUGAUGAGUAUGGACAUAGGCGUAAAUCCACGAUACCACCAUCACAAUCGAGAGAUGCCACGCCCAGAGAGAAGGAAUCUAGAGAGGCAGUCUGACCACAGCAGCCUUGCUGUGAAAGCUUUUUACAGUUUGGAUCUUCUGAGAACAUCAAAGAAAAACUGACCUUGCCAUCCACACUACAGCAAAACUUAAGGACCUUGAACUUUAGGUUUAUCAUCUCACAGCUGAGAAGGGUCCCUCCACACUCUUGGAACUGUACAUCCAUUGGAACCCUUAAGGUAAAACUAACCAGGGAGGUUUCUCCCCAGAAGAGCAUGCUGUCUUUGAUGUAAGCAACUUUUCUAAAGUUCACAGAUUAAGACUUCUACUAUCAUGAAACUUAUCUUUGAAAAUUUUAUCUUGCUAUGGCUCUAUGAACAAUAGAAAUGGAAAGGAGGUCUCUUAUAUGCACUUAUGGGGUGUACUUUUAUUUGUGAAUGUGUUUACAGCCAGCCUUAUACAUGGAUAACUUUAUACUUUGGUGGAUACAAGAUAAAGGCCCAAUGUCAGUAAGAAACUUUAAUGGUACAUACAUUGCCUCAUAAUCAAUCAGAAACAAAAUAUUGGUUCAUUCCUCUUAACCCACAUCAUGGGUUAAAGAGAACAUUACCAGGAGGCCUUCACUCUUCCUGAAAGGCAUCAUUUGUUAGGUUUUUCUUCCAUGGUUUAAAAUAGAAGAAGCAAUGAUUACAAAUGUAUGCUCAUGAUAGGCUGUAUAGCAAAUUCCACUGUAAAGGAUGCAACAAACUUUAAAUUCUCUUUUGGAGUUCACACAGAAUUGGCAGAACAGAGAAGUAUCUCUCCAGUUGCUGGUACUCAUGGCCUACUGGAAAAAUUCACUGGUAGAAGAUUAAUGAAAAGACUGCUUAGUUAAGUAUGUAGACUCUUUAUCUAGCUUAUCCUUUGAUCUAUUUAAUCUUAAGUUCUGGUUUGUGGUACCUUAGGUAAAGAGCAUACUCCAACUUCUUGGUAUUAUCCUCCCAAUAGUCAUGAUAAUACUCUCCCUGAUGUGCUGUUGUUCUCUCAAAGGUUUUAAAUGCUUGCCUGCAGCCAUCUCUAGAAUGGUCUCUCUUCAACUGGAAUGACAAGAGCUGAAAGAAAUCUGCAACCAGGCCAGGCACGGUGGCUCACACGUCUAAUCCCAGCACUUUGGGAGGCCAUGGUGGGUAGAUCAUGAGGUCAGGAGUUCAAGACCAGCAUGACCAACAUUGUGAAACCCCGUCUCUACUAAAAAUACAAAAAAAAUUAGCUGGGCGUGUGGCACGCACAUGUAAUCCCAGCUACUCAGGAGACUAAGGCAGGAGAAUCGCUUGAACUGGGGAGGUAGAUAUUGCAAUGAGCCGAAAUCACACCACUACACUCCUGCCUGGGCGACAAGAGCGAGACUUCGUUUCAAAAAAAAAAAAGAAAGAAAGAAAAAGAAAUCUGCAACAUAACCUAUGAAUGAUGUGCUGAGAUGGGAAACCCAAAAUGAUGGUAAAUCAGAGUGGCACUAAGGCCAUUGUCUCACCAUGGCAACCCAAAAAACAGCAGUCACAGUCUAGGUCUUUCCAGAAAGUAAAUGUAGAGCCCC
rnacentral:lncRNA from 1 species